rnacentral:rRNA from 1 species
GGGGAAUAUUGCGCAAUGGGGGCAACCCUGACGCAGCCAUGCCGCGUGAAUGAAGAAGGCCUUCGGGUUGUAAAGUUCUUUCGGUAGCGAGGAAGGCAUUUAGUUUAAUAGACUAGGUGAUUGACGUUAACUACAGAAGAAGCACCGGCUAACUCCGUGCCAGCAGCCGCGGUAAUACGGAGGGUGCGAGCGUUAAUCGGAAUAACUGGGCGUAAAGGGCACGCAGGCGGUGACUUAAGUGAGGUGUGAAAGCCCCGGGCUUAACCUGGGAAUUGCAUUUCAUACUGGGUCGCUAGAGUACUUUAGGGAGGGGUAGAAUUCCACGUGUAGCGGUGAAAUGCGUAGAGAUGUGGAGGAAUACCGAAGGCGAAGGCAGCCCCUUGGGAAUGUACUGACGCUCAUGUGCGAAAGCGUGGGGAGCAAACAGGAUUAGAUACCCUGGUAGUCCACGCUGUAAACGAUGUCGAUUUGGGGGUUGAGCUUUGAGCUUGGCGCCCGUAGCUAACGUGAUAAAUCGACCGCCUGGGGAGUACGGCCGCAAGGUUG